GUGUUCAAUUACAGCAUCAUCAUGAGGAUGAAGAACUCCUGCAGCAGCUGGACGGAGGCCGGUGGAAAGAUGUUCGAGAUGGGAUGACAGGAUGCAGCAGCCAGUAGUCUCCUGCAGUAUGCCAGCAGAGGAAAUCGAGAGUGUGUCUCUUCCUGUGGGUUGGAAAAGCUACAUAUCACCUGAGGGACGGAAAUACUAUGUCAACACAAGCACUAAAGGUACCACUGAUGUGUGUAUUUGUGUAUGUCAGUUGUUUUGACUGUUUAGAACAGUAUGUUUAUGGAGCAGUAUGUUUAUGCAAAGCCUUUUCUUGUCUCUUCUUGGAAUAGGCUCUCUGUAUCUCUAAUAUCGAAAAUAAGUAUAUGUGGUGUAGAAACAAUUUUUUUUUUUUUUUACUCAAGAAUUGCAUUUCGCAAUAACCAUAAAUAAUAGAUUAAAAACUGAAAUAGUUUUUGACUGUCUUGUAAGCAUUGAAAAUGAAGCAAGCAUAUUCCCUGCAAAAAUAAAUUGCAAAAAAAAAAAAUUCGCCAACACUCUUUAUUAUCAUAGAUGCAUAAAUGAUUAAUGUAUUACAUUCAUUUUAUGUCCUUUUGUAUCUGAUAAACUGAUAUUUUAUGGAAAAAGAAUAUGCUCUUGGGCAAUGUAAGAUUAAGAUAAGUAUUAUUUUCUGUUUUGUGUGCUACCCAUUUUUAAAUAUCAUAUUAACACAUUGUACUAGUUUAAGGUACUUUAAAGUAUACCUACUGUUAUUAACAACAUGGUAUUAUCACAACACUGUGUGAUCAAAAACAUGGUUAUUCUAUAAUAUUACUGAAUUAAUAUCUCAAUUUUAAUAAAAG
rnacentral:lncRNA from 12 species